rnacentral:misc_RNA from 1 species
AAUUCUCAACCUUUUCAACUUUUUCUGUUGAUCAGGCUUGGAUGUGGGAGUAUGCGGGCUUCUCAGAAGUCGCCUCUCAUGAAAUGCAUUAGCGGGACCUUUGUUGCCUGGCUCUGGUGUGACCAUUGUGAAGAGCAGCUUUAUAAAGGAGGUUCAGCUUCUAAUCGUCUCUUUCGAGACAACUUCUGACA